GAUGAACGCUGGCGGCGUGCUUAAUACAUGCAAGUCGAGCGAACAGACGAUGAGCUUGCUCCUCUCACGUUAGCGGCGGACGGGUGAGUAACACGUGUAUAACCUACCUAUAAUACGGGGAUAACUUCGGAAAACCGGAGCUAAUACCAGAGAAUAUAUUGAACCGCAUUGGUCAAUGGUGAAAUACGGUGUUGCUGGCACUUAUAGAGGCAUCCGCGCCGCAUUAGCUAGUUGGUAAGUUAACGGCCUACCAAGGCAACGAUGCGUAGACGACCUGAGGGAGUGAUCGGCGACCUUGGAAGUGGGACAGGGUCCAGACUACUGAGGUACGGAGCAGUCGGGAAUCUUACGCAGUGGGCGAAAACUUGGCAGAGCAACGCAGCGUGAGUGAUGGAGGUGCUGGGUUCGUAAUAAUCUGUUAUUAGGGAAGAACCAAUUUGUCAGUAAAUAUGCACGUAUUGACGGUACCUAAUCAGAAAGCACCGGCUAACUACGUG
rnacentral:rRNA from 1 species